GGUCCGUCUCCCAAAUUCCGGCGACGCCCACACCCCUAGCUCGCCGUGCUUCCCUGCCCCCCUCUCCGCACGGCCAGCUGGUGGCGCACGGGAACCAUCACUAACCAUGUAUGGAGGGCACAAGGCGGCAGCGGCCACCUCUAGCCUGAGGCCCGAAAGGAACGCCCGGAGACAUGCAGCCAUGGAGCUAAGCAUCGCCAGCCUCAUGAGCCCGCGCAGCCUGCGGGAGCCCCAUGCCCGGAAGCGACGGAAGUGCUUCUGGAUCAUGCGUGCCUCUCAGACAGCCGGCGUGCGUGACGUGGCAGCAGCGAGGGCGGGUCUUCCUUGUGCGCGUGCGUGUGGUGGUGAAUGUGAGGGUUGGACUGCUGAGGCUGCAGCGACCUCGAGCACGACUACGCGGCGCAAGAUUUAGUGGAGCAGGAGCUGGCCGUGGUCGGGCAGGUUCGGGGCGCAGGCGCAGCGGCGCAGGUGCUCGGGAAACCACGCGCGUGAUAGAAGCAGCACCUGUCUUGCCGAGCCAGUCGCAUAAUCUUGCAGUUGCAGGGCCGAGCUGCUCCCGAGUGUGGUUUUGUGUAGCUCAAGUUACGUGGUACCCCUUAUCUUAACCAUUCAUUUUUGCAUCAUGAUCCGUGCAGGCAUAUUUGUCAUUUUUGUUUCUCUCAAACGAAACAACGUAUAAACUUCAAACUUUGCAUGACAACCAAACAUUUUGAUUACUAUGUGGGAAAAAACUUUCAGAUUUUUUCAUGCAUUUUAAAUGCUAAAAUUUAUUUUUUUAAUCAAAAAAAUCCUCAUUUUGUAUAUUUAUGUUGGUCCAAAAAAUCUGAAAGUUUUUUCACACAUUGAAGUUGUAAAUUUUGUUUGAUCUGCAAAGUUUGAAGUCUAUAUGUUUUUUCAUUUGAAAAAACAAAAAAGAGAAAUAUUUUUGCUGUAAGUUAGUUGAAGAGUAUAGAUCUCAAAGCAAUAUUGAAGGGAUGAAGAUAAGAGGUUUCAUGUAGCCUGAGCUACAGAGAAACUUUACCAGCUGCUCCCUGUCUUUGCUUUUCCUCCAGGACUUCAGUUUACUCAAGAAACCAAGUAGGUGAUCAUGGAGGAUGACACAAGUACAUGCCAAGUCAGCGUAAAGCUGAGAUGGGAAACCAAAUUGAGCAACUUCAGAAGCGUAAUGCACUAUCCAAGGUAGACCACGAUAGCAGGUAGUCUUGUCAUCUUGCAUCUUUCUUUUUCGAGGAAUUUUGCAUCUUCAUAUAUCUUAUGCAUUGCUUAUAGCUGUGGCACAGAACAUGUAAUGGAAGACUAUUCUUUUUCUUAUUGCAUUUGUAACCUCUGUUUAUUAUACUGUAGAGAAGAGAACAACAUAUUUGAUACUAAUAGUUUCAUUUCCAUAAUGGUUGAAAAAAAACUGUCUGUAGUUUUCAGAUAUCUUGUCGAUGCUAGCCAGGAAGAGCACCAAAAGGAAUGCACUGUACCACUAGAUCACAGAGACCUACCCAGCUGGAGGAUUGACGUCUCAGUUCUAGCUAUAGAAUAUACAAGCAAUGGUACCAUUGUAAACUUGUAGUCUCGCCUACCAUCAUGUAUCUUAAGGAUGUAGCACCCAUGCUUAAACCAUGUAUAACUAUAUCCAUAAAGAG